GAUGAACGCUGGCGGCGUGCUUAACACAUGCAAGUCGAACGGAAAGGCUCCUGCUUGCGGGGGUCCUCGAGUGGCGAACGGGUGAGUAACACAUGGGUGUUCUGCCCUGCACUUCGGGAUAAGCCUGGGAAACUGGGUCUAAUACAGGAUAGGACCAUGGUUUUGAUGCCAUUGUGGGAAGUUUUUCGGUGUGGGAUGAGCUCGCGGCCUAUCGGCUUGUUGGUUGGGUGAUGGCCUACCAAGGCGUCGACGGGUAGCCGGCCUGUGAGGGUGUACGGCCGCAUUGGGACUGAGGUACGCCCCAGGCUGCAACGGGGGGCAGCAGUGGGGAGGUUUGCGCAAUGGGCGGAAGCCGGAUGCAAGGGCGCCGCGUGGGGGAUGACGGCCUUCGGGUUGUAAACGGCUAUCGCUAGGGACGAAGCGCAAGUGACGGUACCUGGUGAAGAAGCACCGGCUAACUACGUG
rnacentral:rRNA from 1 species